CUCCUUGGCUAAAAAAAAAAAACGUAAUGUUAAUUAAUUGUACACGGUCAACCUGCGAAUGAAAUGCCAUCAACGAGUCAACGACCCAACGAUCCACAAAUUAUCCUGCUAAAAAAUCCAACUUCAACGCCCUAAAUCUAUCCACUACUAUAUCUCCAUUAACACCAAAAAACUCAACUCCUCUUCCUUUGCACUUACCCCACCAAAUCCGCUUCUUUCAAGAGAGAGAAAAACCCAGAAUUAUCCAACAUUAUGGCUGCAAAUUAAACCCACCCAUUUUUUAAUCUUUCCAUUUCAUAACCCAUUUCCAUAAAGUAUGGGCAUUUCGUAUUUUCAACGAAAUCCCAUUUUUUUAUGAUUAAAAAUGAAUUAAUUUCUAUUAGAAUAUUCGAUUAUUAUCUAUUCUUGGAUACCCAACAAAAAUUAAAAUUAAAGAUUGAUUUUUGAAGACAGAUUAUAUACAUGGCAGCAUCACCUUCAGCAUCAGCUGCUGCUGCGUCGGUGAGUUUAUUAUACGCGCGCAACAAUUGUGUUAGUUCUCCUGUUUUCUCUCUUAAACUUGGUGGUGGUUCUCUUCCUUCUUCAUCAUCUUCAUCGUUGUCGUCUUCGUCAUCGUCGUCUUCUUCGCAUUUUUGUUCGUCGAAUAGUUCAUGUAAUUUCUCUGGGGUGAAUGAUUGCUGGCAAAAUCAAAGGUUUGAGUCUCAUGCAAUGAGUACUACAGCUGUAAAUAAACCGUCUUCAACAGUCAAUGGAGAACUCGGGCCUGAUCAUCUUCUUGUACUUGUCCAUGGCAUCAUGGCUAGCCCAAGUGAUUGGACAUAUUUUGAAGCGGAAUUGAAGAAGCGAUUGGGAAGAAAUUUCUUGAUUUAUGCAAGUUCAUCAAAUACCUUCACUAAAACCUUUGGCGGUAUUGACGGGGCUGGGAAACGUUUGGCUGAGGAGGUCAGACAAAUUGUACACAGGACAGAGAGUCUAAAGAAAAUUUCCUUUUUAGCCCAUUCUCUUGGUGGCUUGUUUGCUCGAUAUGCUGUUGCUGUCCUUUACACACCAAAUAACUUGGGUGAUGGAGAUCUAAAUGAUGCUUCAAUAGCAGGCCGCUCAACAAAGCAUGGUUUGGUUGCUGGACUGGAACCUAUCAAUUUUAUUACACUAGCUAGUCCACAUCUUGGAGUAAGAGGGAGGAAUCAGCUGCCAUUCCUUUUGGGACUUCAUUUCUUGGAGAAACUUGCCCCAUCCUUUGCAUCAGUUUUUGUUGGUCGAACUGGUAGUCAGCUCUUUCUUACUGAUGGUAAACCAAAUAGACCCCCACUUCUUCUGAAGAUGGCAACAGAUUGUGAAGACUGUAAAUUUAUAUCUGCCCUUGGUGCAUUUAAAUGUCGCAUUCUAUAUGCAAAUGUGUCUUUUGAUCAUAUGGUUGGCUGGCGCACAUCUUCAGUUAGGAGAGAAGAUGAACUUCCCAAGCCUCCUCAGCGAUCUUUGGAUGGUUACAAGCAUGUUGUAGAUGUUGAGUAUUGUCCCCCAGUUUCGUCUGAGGGUCCCCAAUUUGCUCCAGAAGUUGCCAAAGCAAAGGAGGCUGCACAGACUGAACCUAGCACUCAAAAUACUGUUGAAUACCAUGAACUUGUGGAAGUCUGUUUGUCUGUGCAGAGGAAAUGGUACGUGGCUUACAGAGAGUGGGAUGGAAGAAAGUUGAUGUCAGCUUUCAUUCUGCAGUGUGGCCCUUCUUUGCUCAUAACAAUAUACAUGUAAAAAACGAAUGGUUUCAUAAUGCUGGUACUGGUGUUGUAAAACAUGUUGCUGACAGCCUGAAGCAGCAAGAAUCUUCAUAUCUCACUGCCAACUUAUAAUACCGAGAAUUUUCAAAGUGUGCAGUAACACGUGUGCUACGGUGCUAGCUUUUUAACAUCUUUUGAGCCUAAAAUGAAGAAUGGAGUUAAGCGAUUCUUAUAUAAUCGAGAUUGAAAUGUACCUAUACGAUUGAUGUAAAAUCCUCUGGGAAAUAUAGGAAGAAUGCUUGGUUAUGUCUUCCCCUCUCCCAAUAUAUUCUUAUCCACAUUUUCCUUCGUCGUGGAAUGCCUACUUGUGAUACAAUUAUUUGAUUGCCUUGAUUAGGCAAUUGUGAACUCUCGAUGUAAAUUGUUUAUUACUGGUUGACAUUUAUGUAAAGGCUGUACUAUUUUAGCUCAA